rnacentral:sRNA from 1 species
CAGACUUUCCAAAUGUCAAACCAGCUAGGGCAGCUUACCAAGUUGCUGCUUUACCUUUGGGUGCAAAUGUUGAAAUUGAAGCCAUUGCAAUAGUUGGGGAAAUCGUUGAUGUCUGAACAGUCCAUUUAUUUUUUUUGUUGUUAAAAUUUUUCUAUUUUUAUUCUGGUCAUUUCAAAAGUAUUACUCAUAUGAAUACUAUACAGUUUGGCAAAAUAUUUAGUUAAUGUACAACCAAGACUUUGUACCGGUACUUUCUUUUUUUCUUAUUAGCUUUAUAUUUUAGUUAUGUUGGAUGUUAACGUUUAUGCAUAAUAUUUUGUAUGUUCAAAAAUGCUGGAAUUUAAAAGGCAGCUUUAACUUCAUGAUGGCUUCAUCUGUAUCAAAUGUGGCAACAGCUGGUUCUUUGUAGUCUCAUAAAGAUCUGUCUUUUCUAAGUUGAACUUAGAAAAUAGCAAAUAAGUUGAAUGUUUGUUUUUUAUGUUAAGAUUUUUCUAUUCUCUCUUAGUCAAGUAGUCACAAGCCAAAAUGUCUAGUCAUCAUUAUUGUGUGAAUAAUAUUUCUUUGUAUUAACAUUGUAUUUGAGUAAAUACCCUUACAAUUUGUUACAAAUAAUGUAAUUAUUUACUGUUACAUAUUCCAGAUUUAAUAUCAAAUGGCAAUGUAUCAUUCCAAAUGUUUGUUAUAAAACAAUACCAUUGCAAAUUCUUGCAAUAAAGAAAGGACAUAUUUAA